rnacentral:rRNA from 1 species
UGGGAAGUAUUGCGCAAUGGGACGGAGCACGCAGCAACGCCGCGUGAAGGAAGACGGUUUUCGGAUUGUAAACUUCAGCAAGCAGGGAAGAAAGAAAUGACGGUACCUGAACAAAGCCACGGCUAACUACGUGCCAGCAGCCGCGGUAAUACGUAGGUGGCAAGCGUUGUCCGGAUUUACUGGGUGUAAAGGGCGCGUAGGCGGGCGAGUAAGUCAGACGUGAAAUACCGGGGCUCAACCCGGGCUGCGUUGAAUACUGCUUGUCUUGAGUGCCGGAGAGGAAAGCGGAAUUCCUAGUGUAGCGGUGAAAUGCGUAGAUAUUAGGAGGAACACCAGUGGCGAAGGCGGCUUUCUGGACGGUAACUGACGCUGAGGCGCGAAAGCGUGGGGAGCAAACAGGAUUAGAUACCC